rnacentral:rRNA from 1 species
GACUACAGGGGUAUCUAAGCCUGUUCGCUCCCCACGCUUUCGUGCCUCAGCGUCAGUUAUGGUUCAGUAAGCUGCCUUCGCAAUCGGUGUUCUGUGUAAUAUCUAAGCAUUUCACCGCUACAUUACACAUUCCGCCUACCUUAACCAUACUCAAGAUUAACAGUAUCAACGGCAAUGCUACAGUUAAGCUGCAGGAUUUCACCACUGACUUAUUAUUCCGCCUACGCACCCUUUAAACCCAAUAAAUCCGGAUAACGCUCGCAUCCUCCGUAUUACCGCGGCUGCUGGCACGGAGUUAGCCGAUGCUUAUUCACAGGUUACCGUCAAUCACCUACACGUAGAUAACAUUCUUGACCUGCAAAAGAAGUUUACGACGCAUAGCGCCUUCUUCCUUCACGCGGGAUGGCUGGUUCAGGCUUGCGCCCAUUGACCAAUAUUCCUCACUGCAGCCCCCCGUAGG